rnacentral:rRNA from 1 species
ACGGGGCCCGCACAAGCAGUGGAGUAUGUGGUUUAAUUCGACGCAACGCGAAGAACCUUACCAGGGCUUGACAUCUUCUGACGACGUAGAAGAUACGUUUUCCCUUCGGGGACAGAGAGACAGGUGGUGCAUGGUUGUCGUCAGCUCGUGUCGUGAGAUGUUGGGUUAAGUCCCGCAACGAGCGCAACCCCUAUUGUCAGUUGCCAGCAUGAAAGAUGGGCACUCUGGCGAGACUGCCGUUGACAAAACGGAGGAAGGUGGGACGACGUCAAAUCAUCAUGCCCCUUAUGUCCUGGGCUACACACGUACUACAAUGGCAACAACAGAGGGCAGCCAAACCGCGAGGUUGAGCGAAUCCCAAAAUGUUGUCUCAGUUCAGAUUGCAGGCUGAAACUCGCCUGCAUGAAGUCGGAAUCGCUAGUAAUCGCGGAUCAGCUACGCCGCGGUGAAUACGUUCUCGGGCCUU